UGAGCAAUCUGCCCUUCUCAUCGGAAUAAGCGUUGGAAACGACGUCUAAUGCCGAAUACGACCUCCUUUCGCAUGAUCGGAGGUGGAAAGCUCCGGCGGAGAAGGAUGAGCUCGCGGCCUAUCAGCUAGUUGGUGUGGGUAAUGGCCCACCAAGGCGACGACGGGUGGCCGGCCUGAGAGGGUGACCGGCCACACUGGGACUGAGACACGGCCCAGAUUCCUACGGGAGCAG
rnacentral:rRNA from 1 species